UACGAAGGGAGCUAGCGUUGUUCGGAAUCACUGGGCGUAAAGGGCGCGUAGGCGGCCGCCUAAGUCAGACGUGAAAUCCCUCGGCUCAACCGGGGAACUGCGUCUGAUACUGGGUGGCUUGAAUCCGGGAGAGGGAUGCGGAAUUCCAGGUGUAGCGGUGAAAUGCGUAGAUAUCUGGAGGAACACCGGUGGCGAAGGCGGCAUCCUGGACCGGUAUUGACGCUGAGGCGCGAAAGCCAGGGGAGCAAACGGG
rnacentral:rRNA from 1 species